UACGUAAGGGGCGAGCGUUGUUCGGAAUUAUUGGGCGUAAAGGGUGCGUAGGCGGUAAAGAAAGUCUAGAGUUAAAGACCACGGCUUAACUGUGGAAAUGCGCUAGAAACUUCUUUUCUGGAGUAUGGAAGAGGGAAUUGGAAUUCCUGGUGUAAGGGUAAAAUCUGCUGAUUUCAGGAAGAAUAUCAGAUGCGAAGGCGGAUUCCUGGUCCAAAACUGACGCUGAGGCACGAAAGCAUAGGGAGCAAACAGG
rnacentral:rRNA from 1 species